ACUUGUUUGAGCGAAAUGCUAAAAACCGGAGUUUUUACCUUCAAUCAAAGGUACAUAGAGCUAAAGAGUGUUUGGAAGAAGUUCACAAACCUAAAGAACCAGAAACAAAAUAAGAAAUCUCGUGCUGAUGUUUAGUGUAUAUUCUUGCUGCUAAUGAUUUACCUAGCUAGUUCCUUGGAUCUUUGUCGAAAAUUUUAUAUUUUGGUGACAGCAGUUGAGGUUUCUGUUCAAGAACUUCAAUGUAGUGAGUGUGUUAGACACAUCACAGCACAACACACUCACACCAUUGUAGUAUACAUGUGUAUAAAGGGAUCAAUUUCUUGAGUAGCUAACAAAAAAAGAAGUUGAAAAAACUUGAUGACAUUUUCGCCCAUUAUUUUAAGUUGUAUUCAUUAUUCAAGCUUCUUAUAUGGUGAUGUUUAAGUCACAGCAAAAAUGCUGUUUAUCUUGCAUUAUUUUGUUAUGUUAAAACAUCGUGAUGCAUAAAAUCGUUAUAAUUUAAAAAGCAAGGCAAAAAAAAUCUAGCAUUUUGCCUUCUUGUUAUAACAUAAUUUAAUUUAAAUUGUAUUAUCCUGUUUCUUUUUUUCUUUCUCUAUAUAGCAUUUUGCCUUCUUGUUAUAACAUGUUUGCAAAAAAAAAAAGUAAAAAUCUAGAGCUUCGUUUAACAUGAUUCUCAAGGUCUCACAAGAAUGUAUGAGAGGAACAAGAGGAUUCGCACAUUGUCAGGUCUAACAAGAUUUUUUUUUUCAUUCUCAAGGCUUGAAUUUGAGAUCUUUGAUUAAAGGUGGAAGGAUCUCAACCAUCUCGCCACAACUCAUGUUCGUACUUUUUAGAUAUAGAAUGAUAUAUAAUACUGAUAGGGGAGUAUUAGCCAAUUUAAAUUCCUUUUUCAUCCCAACUUGUCAAACUCGUACAAGUUGGAACCUUUAUCAAAAAUAAUUAUGCAAUGAUCUGUAAGACUAUAAUAAUGCCUGAAAUCUCAAAGAAUUGUAGUUCUGAACUGUUUUAUUUUCUGGUAAUGAUUACAAAAAUAUGAGGAAAAAUUACAUAUUCACAGAUGGUGAUGAACUUGCAAGUGAGUAAAAUUAAAUGUAUGAUAAUUAGUCAAGAUGAAUAUUACAAGGUAAAAAACUGAUAACUUCACCAUCUUCAUCAUUUGGGAAGGUAACACAUUUGAAAACUUUGCAUUUUGAGCACAAUAAGUAUCCCGUCUGCGCGGUAAGAUGAAGAAAAAACUUAAUUCCAUGGAAAAAUAAUGGAAUGUGAGAUGAUAACAAUUCCUAGAAGAAUACAGUAAAAAGAAAACACUUACAGCUCUACAUGAUGGAUACCGACGAUAAAUUUUGUUAGUCUCAGAUUUCACAUUGGUCUUCUGACCUUUACAAAAAUCACAGAGCAGCCAUCCAGUGCCACCACAAGGCUCACAUAAGAUUCCUGCCUCAACCUUUCAAUUGAAAACAGACAGAUAAAGAGUUCGAAAGCAGCACACCAUCUCAGUAAGCAAGAAACGCAGAUGGCAAGAGGUAAAGAUUCAGUAUCUUAAAAUGGAGAGCAGAUGAUAUUAAUAGAAAAUGGGGUUAAACCAAUGCAGAUCUAAACUAUCUACCAAGGGUCACUGCAAAGGGACCAUCCUUACAGUUGAAGAUUUGAAGAAAAGGAAGAUAGCAUCCUUACAUGGUUUUGUCUUUUUAAAAUCAGCAGCUUUAUCAUAAAUAAUAGUUAUUUGAAUAAAAUGCUUCUGAAAAGUUAAGAGCAAUCAAUGCACUUUACAUAGCCUACUUCUAAAUAGUUAGACAACAUUGUGUACAUUAAGAUGAUGUUGCUUAAAAGCACUUUACAUCUUUCUACCCUUUUUCUCCCUCACAGCUCUGGUGGCAUGCUUAUAUAUGCUGAUGAUGUUGCUUUAAACUAUCUUUUCUUAUGCUUGUUUCUGAGUAACUAAUUCCUUGUUUCUUUCAUUUGCCUAAAAGUCAUUCUGUAGACAUAGCCUUUUAGAUUUUUCUUGGAACUCUCUCUUAAAUCUUCAUCAGUUUACAACUUCAUUAAAAAAAAUCAUCAGCUUACAAUUUUAUAUUGGCCUAGGGUGUGGUUGUCAAUAUAAGUAAACAUGAAAGAGAAACAAAGAGAGGAGAAAGUUGAAGUACUUACAAAUACAAUAAUGGUCCUAAUGGCUAGAGUUGCAGUAUAAAGAACAGACGAAGCAAACAUACAGAAUCAUGAACUUGGUCAUGAAAAUCUAAACAACCUAGAAAAGAAAAUUUUAAUCAAUUUUUGUCUGUCCCUUUAAGAUUAAUGUGGUACUGCCUUCCUAUUUUCAUGACAAAAUAUCAUGAGUUUGAUAAAAGAUGUAUACCUGGACCACCCCUAGCAAAAUAACCAGGGAGUUAACUACUCUCAUUAGGAAAAGGUAUGACUAGUUCCGUAUUAUCUCUUCUUUUAUUUUGCAUGCCUUUGUUAAGGUUUCCUAAAACAAGAUAUUAAAGUUUUCUUUGGUCCAACGAUGUAUAAGCUCCCCGUUUAACUAAUCCAUAGUAAUUUGAACACUUUCUUGAUAUAUAUUACCCCAUAAUCUUGCGUUCUUGCUUUCCGGGGUUGAAUAUUAGCCCAAGGGAGCUUGCAUUAUUGUGCCAAAAGGUAUUAUUUCUCUAGGGCUUCCAAUUGAUAAUUUUUAUCUUCCAAUUGUGUGAUGUUCGUUAGUAGUGCAGUACCUGAUUAGUCAGUCUUUUGACGAUAGGGGUAGAAAAUCAUGUAGUCUCUCAUUUCUUUCGGAAGCUUAGCUUAGGUCAUAACGACUUUGUCUUAGGACUACUUUUGUGACGUAAUCGCUCUUUGUAGAAUAAGUAAGUAGGAAGUUAUCAUUUCUUUCCUCUUUUUUGAUGACAAGGGAAACCCGCACCCAUGCUCCUAUGCAAUAGCUCGCAAAUCACGUAGGAGAGGUAACCCCGCACUAGGGCAAGCCUGGGUGCGACGAGCUCGACCCAGAAGGCAAACCCCUUGCUUUCGCUGGCAAGGGGUUUCGAACUUGAGACCUUCAACAUGGAAGUCCCAAGCCCAAACCAUUGGGCCACCCCAAAGGGUGUUAUCAUUUCUUUCUUUCGGAAGCUUGGCUUAGGAAAUAUAUGGCCGUGUCUUAGCACUAUAUUUUUGUCCACUGCUCUCCGUAUUACCAAUAUAAAUCUGUUUGUUCAUAGCCAAGCCAGCAAUUAAGAAAGGGAAUUUUUUUCUCUGAUUUCCAAAAAGUGAUUUUUGCCUUUUCUCGUUAUGUCUCUCCAAGGGAUUGGAGGAACUAUAUGAUGUUUAUGUCUAUGUAUUCUGGAAACAGGUAUCAGAUGUUGUUCCAGUUGCUUGCAGGGCCGCAGCUGAUGCUGGAAUUCCAUCUGUUUGUAUCAUCAACUUCAGGUUUUCACGUCUAACUCCCUUUUUUACUUCAUAUCUUCUUUGUCAUACAGAAAAAGUUGGAAGAAGCUAUAAUUUAAGUGCAACAUAACAAAUUGGAAUAUUGAUAGUCACUGACCUUGAUCAAAUGUUGAUGAUAAAUAUUUAUACCAGAAGCUUAACUUACAGUUUUUACCUAAUGAACGGGGAACAUUUUAUAGAGUUGACGAAGCAAUCGAUGUGGCUCUAAAUCUGCAAAAACAAUUCUCAUUUUUUGAGAUCAAAUCUGAAAUCAAUGAUUGUUAGGUAAUGUUACUUAUUCUUUCUUUAUUUUGUGGAUCAACAACUUCAAUCUUAUUAGAAUGUAAUAACUUCACUAGACUUUUUUCUUUUAUGUGGCAGUGCAUGCUUAUAUUUGGUAAUUCACUGAGUUUUUCAUUUGUGCAUUUUUCUGGCAUUUGUAAAUUGACUUGAUCUUCUCUUUUUGCAGAUUAUUCUUCACAUAAGAAUGAUUGAGAUUGUGCUCAUGGCAUAUAACCAGAUGAAAAGUGAGGGUAGCUUAUGAAUGGUAUAAAUAUUGCAAACUUGAACUUUCCAAAUUAUGUAUAAUAUAGGUUGUAAUAGGCAACACUCAAUUGUAUAUCUCUUAAGACUUGUUUCUACGUAAAAGUUCUUUGUUUCUUUCAAUUAGUAUUGCCACAACAAAAAUGAAUGAUGUAAACAAGCACAAGAAUUGUUUUGCUGGUGUUACUUUAACCAAGGCUGGCAUCAUGUUUAGUUUGUUUGUGCUGUUGUAUUGUCACAGUGACAAAAAGAAAUUGAAACCAUGCAUGUGCACGGGCCAUGUCCCUCUAGUAUAUGUAGAAGGCAAUAAAGACUACAACUAUAGAACAUUCAGAGCAAAAUUUGAAAGAAAAAUAAGCUCUAAGUUGUACAAAAAGAACUGAACAGGCAAUAAAAAGAGAAACAACAAGCAAUUUUGCCAAAUGAGAGAACAUGCUGUCACUGUAGAAACUAACAACUAAGAAUGCUCUACCAGCUCGAAAAAGGGGCAAGCUUGUUGCAUAUCAAACGAUCAUCCAAGUCAAAUGUUGAUAACCAGCCCAUUUUGCAGCAAGUCGGACACCAAUGGCCAAUGCAGCACAUAUCAGAGGAACUGGGACCUUCCUAACUGCAUCGGUAGUUUCCCCUUCACUUUUAUUCAAAGGCGUUUUAGAGUGUUACAGAAUGGCCAAAGCAGUGUAAGAAACCAUUACUACCAGUCUAACCCAAGGCUCUCCCACAGCAGCUAAUGCAGCAGCAGCAGGCAUUGCGGAAGACACAUAAUCUCUUCUUCUGAUAAAUCGAGCAAAGAAAAACAAGCCUAGGAGUAUAAACCAAAAGAACAGCUCGGAAAUAUAACCCUUUACAGCAGCAAAUCCCAUUAUUCCAGCUGCUGUAAGAAGGUAUGGUUGGCUGUUCACAGAAUCUGGAACUGCCGCUUCACCAAUAGCAAGAACACAAGAUGCCAAAAUGAUGAUUGUUGUUAGCUCUUGUACUGGUGCAUAUGCAACUAUACUGGAGUAGAAAGCUCGAAUGGAGUAAAUUGUUGAUUCAAUAAACCUAAUUAUAGUUGUGAUAUGAUCCCCUAUGAAGUAGUAUACAACAUCCAAUGCAAGUUUUGAGAUGUAACCGAGAAAUCGGAAGACAGCACCCACAGCCUUUUUCCAAUUAUCCAGUUCCCACAAGAUAGUCCUCCAGGCAUAUAGAAUAAAGGCCAAAGCUACAUAUUGACAACAACUACAGAGUUAAUGAAGUACUCUAUGUUUUUAGCUGGAACACUUCAUUCAUAAAUAGAGAGCUACACAUGAAAAGUGCAAAACACGAAUGUGAGCUACUACUUAAAUGAAAAUCGCAAGGAAAUCAAACGAUCAACAACUACAUGAUAUUCUAACAGCAGAUACAUGGGAGCAUCUUGGGCUUUCUUUCUACUUGUAUCAAAAAAAAAAUAUUAUCACUCAACAACAGCUAUACUCAACUACAUAACCUAGACUAGAAUGCACAUUCAGCUAAAUCAGUGCCCACAAAUAGAAAAUUGACAAAUUAGCUUAUAACUAAAUCAGUGCCCACAAAAAGAACAUAUGAUAGAGCUUUUUUGAUAUACCUAUGAACCAAGGCCAUCUAACAGGCUUAUCAGGAGCUUCUUUAGUCAAGUAUCUGAAUAUAUCAGGCAUUGUGCUCUCUCCACUCAUUUCCAGCUUUGUCGACACUACUCCCAUUAUCUAUUCCACUACUCUCAGCUUUCGCAAUAAACCCAUUUUUCCUACGUGAUUGAAAUCCACAAUUACUUGUGAAAAUCUCGGAACAUUUGUGUUUCAAUUCUAGUUUAAUUCUGACAACAGGUGAGGGAAAAUGAAGAAUUUGAUUAUGAGAGAAAGUACAAUAGGGAAAAAUCUUAUGGGUUUUCUUGAGAGUGGGAAUUGAAGAUGAGAGAAAUGAGAAAGUAAUCGACAUUGUUGUUAAGGGUUUAAAGUUUUGCCGCUACCAGAGAAUUUGUCACUCAGAAGAAUGGAGUUUGGGGUUUUGCGAAAUCCAGUAACCCGCCAGACAACCCGGUGACCCGACCCCCAAAAUUCACACUCUUUUUAAUUGAAUUUUUUUAUGCAUAAAUUAUUAUUUUUUAAAAUGUAAAAAUUAGGUGAGAUGUUUUCGGGCCUGCUGUGUGUUUCAAGUAAUAGGAAAAUAGUUGAAUUUUAGGGGGAAAAAAAAUUGGAUAACAUAUUCUUAUUUAAAACAUAACUAAACUUGUAAGGGGUCGUUUGGUUUGAAUAUAAGUUAUGCUGAGAUUAGUUAUGAUGAAAUAAGUUAUGCUGGGAUUAAUUAUGGUAGGGUUGAUUUUUACUGUUUGUUUGGUUUGUCAUAUUCAAACUUAUAUUCAUGACAUAAUUUCUAAAAAUAAGUUGUUUGUUUACAAAAAUACCCUUUACCUUAUUUAGUUUUUUUUUAUUUAUUUUUUUUAUAUUUUCUUAGCAAGUUUAGUUAUUCAUUCUUAAAAUAAUAUUUUUCAUCUUAUUUAGCUUAAAUAUUUUUUUGUGUGCAUUUCCAUAAUUGUGUCGUGUGUUUUUAAAAUUAAACUUUCAUCUUAUUUAACUUAAAAAAUAAAACUUCCAUCUUAUUUAGCUUAAAAUAAAAUUUUCAUUAGCUUAAAAAUAAAACUUUCAUCUUAUUUAGUUUAAAAAUAAAAUCUUCAUCUUAUUUAGCUUAAAAUAAAAUUUUCAUUAGCUUAAAAAUAAAACUUUCAUCUUAUUUAGUUUAAAAAUAAAAUCUUCAUCUUAUUUAGCUUAAAAUAAACAUUCAUUUUAAGUUUAUUAAAAGUAAAGAAAUUUUAUUAUUAAAGUUAUCUACAUUUUAAUUGAUAUAUAAAAUAUAAUUUGAGUAAUAAACUAUUUAAUAAAAAUAAUGCAAUUUAGUAGUGUAGUGAACAUUUUGAGAGAAAUCAAAAUAUAAAUAAAACAUAAGAAUUAGGCAAAUAAAUUCAACUUAUAUUAUAUUCAUAAAUAAAAAUUGUAUUUAUAAAAUGUAAUUUUUUAAUAGAAAAAUAUAUUAUCAUAAGAGUAACAAAUAAUUAAGGUUGUGAAUGUUAUUAUAAAUAUUGUUAAAAAUUAUGUUAAUAUACAUGAAUGUAAAGUGGUGUAUAAAAGUGGGGUUUAAGGAGUGUAUUUUUGUUAUUUUACCUACCCCAUCCCAUGAUAAGUUAUCAUGGGAUUGUUAUUCCUCCCUAGGGAGGGAUAAUUUGUCGCAAGACUAACUGUUAAUCCUGGGAUAAGUUAUCCCAUCCUUGGCAACCAAACAACAAAUUAAAGGUCACUUAAAUAUUAUCCCUGGAUAAAAUCUUCUUAUCCAUUACACCAAACGACUCCUAAGAGUUUCAAGAUGAGAUGACCAACUUUCGGGUCUGCUGUGGCAUGUGUGUUUCAAGUAAUAGAAAAAUAGUUGUAUUUUACUAUUUUAGUGCAAAAAAAUAAUUGGACAAGAUAUUCUUAUUUAAAACACAACUAAACUUGUAAGAGUUUCAAGAUGAGAGAACCAGUUUUCAGGCUUGCAACGAAUUUUAUGUAAUAAAAAAAUAGUCGUAUUUUAAUGUAAAAUUAUUUUGGACAAGAUAUUCUUAUUUAAAACACGAACAAAACUUGUAAGAGUUUUAAUCCAAUGAAUCAUUCCUUGAUUUUGAUUUUCAAAUUUAUACAAAUUCAAACUUUAUUAAAUCGUUCUUUGAGUUUAACUUGUCAAUUCUUCGAACACCACUAGCAUGGCCAUGCUCUCUUGAUCUUAGCAUACAUUUUUUACGUAUUAGUCAUCCUGCUUCAAGCAAGUAUGAUCAAGAAAAAUUUCAUGACAAUUAAUAUUGAGGUAAUUUUGGUAAUAGUGAUAUUUCAAAUGUGUCAUAUAUGUGUGGUUGGUCGGAAGUCAAUUUUCAGCUGACACUAAUUUAAUAAUCAUGCAUAUAGUCUAGUUUGAUUACAAUAUUUGUUAGAUUUCAAGAGAAAUGAUUUUAAAUGUUCGUACAAUCAGUUAUUAUAUUUUUGCAUAUGUGUUGUAUAGUUUAGAUUUCUUUCUUUUUUUUCGAUAUAACCAUUUUUUGAUUGAUAUGACUUGAUAAAAAAUAUUAUUAGUAUCAUACAUAGUGCAGUAUCAUAUUAACAAUUGUCUAUAAUUUUCUUGCGUUCUAUGUUAUUAUCAUUAAAUAAUUUAUUUUAUUUAUUCAUAAAUGUGUUGAAAAAUUUCUUCAAUCGGUAACAUAUUACCAGGACUUUGACAUAGCUUUAGGGAGCGGAACAUGGUGGCGAACCUACUUACAAAAAGGGCCUAGAAGGAAACUUUUUGAAACAUAGUUAUGAAUUACUUUUGCUAGAAUUUUUUUUUACUUUGACUUGUAAUAGUAACUUCAUUACACAUCUUGACUAAGCUACUCAUUUAGGGGUAGUUUGAUAGGCCGCAUUAAAAUAAAUAGUGCAUGUAUUAUGUAUGGUAUUAUUUAAUAUUGUGUUUGGCAGGAAUUUGUGCAUAUGUAUAACUAAUCCAUGGAUUAGUUAUACCCCCUAUAUGGUAUUAUAGGAUGUAUUACUAAUACCUUCUAUUUGGAGAUAUUAGUAAUAUAUAAGACAUAAUACCAUGGGAUAAGUCUAUGUAAAGAUAAAAAUAUCUCUCAAAUCAUUUUAAUUAUUUUGUUUAUUUUCUUGAUUUAUGUUUUAUAUUUGUACUGAUAAAUUUAUUUAAAUAAAUUAGCUUACAAAUUAUUUAGAGAGAGUUGUUUGUUACUAAGGACCCGUUUGGCCAUAAAUUUUCCCAAGUAAUAUUUGGGGGAAAAUUUGGCAAAUAGUGUUUGUCCAUACAAUUUGUCAUUAUUUGGCAAAAAUGCCAACUUUCCAAAUAGUUUUUCCUAGUAUUUGGGCCAAAUCUCAUUAUUUGAAAUCUUUUAAAAAUUGAAAUUUUACACCAAAUUAUUAUUUUUUACAAAAACACCCUCUAUAGUAGUUGUUUGUGUUGUAGUACAUAAUUUUUUACGUGAACACCAACAUAAUGGUGAAAUAUUCAGUGAAUAUGAAAGUGAUGAUAUGGUUGUUGAUGAAAAUGAUGAACAAUCGAUUCAGGGUAACAAAGUCAUGUGCUUUGUCUACUUCAAGAUGUAUGGAAUGAUAAUUGUUGCACUCACUCCAAACUACCACAUUGCUCGCUAGUGUCAUGGACACUACUUGUUAUUUGUUGUAACGAAGAUCCAAUUGACUUGUAAUACAAACUUAUGGUUAGUUUUGAUAGUUUUUAAAACUUAUGGAUAUAAAUCAUAUUUUUCUAAAAAAGUGAAAUAUGUUUCCCAAACACUUUGGCCAAAUACAUGGUGAAUUUUCACCCAAAUAAUAUUUGCCAAGAAUAUUUCAAACUCUAUGGCCAAACGCUAGCUAAAUAAAUCCAAUACAAAUUAAUACAAUAGUUGAAAUGUGAGUUGUUUAACAUUAACUAAUUGUUUGUUCUAAACUUCUAAUUAUUUGUGUUUUGAACAAUUUAUAAAAUUGCAUACAUAUUAAAACUACAACUUGCAAUUUUUAUGUGUAAAUGUAGAUGAUUUAUUCAAUUUUAUUAUUGUUUACCGUCUUUUCAAUUUUAAAAGUUGAUAGUUUAUCUUUUAUAAAUUAAAAAUUGGCAAUUUUGUAAGUGAUCAAUUUACUAAGAUACAAUUAUUCAUCCUCAAAUAAUUUAAGUGAAAAAAAAAAAGGUAAACAUGGCGAUAAAAUUAUUUUUCUCAUAGCUAGUUAGAGGGCCAUAAUAAAAAAUAUUUGUGCGACAAGGUUUUACCUCAACCCAAUUACAUAAUAACAGUGAUUAGUUUUAUGAGAGAUGUAGAAGAAUUUGGACUAGGGGGAGGGGGUAAGUGAGUGGAAGAAAAUGCAUAGCAUGGAAGACUCAUGAAGGAAUCACUUGUUUGUGUUGUCAGUAAGAUAUUUUUUUAAUCGAUCCGGAUAUGAUAUUUGUGUUGUUGCUUUCUCCAAACUCGUUCGUGCAUGUUUAACCCUUGACUGGCAUUAAGGGAAACAUGUUUAACAUUUGAUGCUCGGAUUCUAGCUUCUUCUGUUUGAUCUUACUGGGGACGGACUAGUCAUUUAUGUAUUCAAGUAGAUUUUGAUUGUUCUGCUCUGCUGUUUGGUCGUUUCUUAGGUUACACAUUUCCGAUUUCCUGGUUAGGGCCACCUCAGAAUUUCAGCAUCGAUGUAUGUUUUGGGACUCGAAAUGUUAGGUACCACCAUUAAUUUGUGCUUUAAUGAAAUGACUCUCUUUAUUCUGUGAUAAGUUUGUAGACAUGAUUCCUAUAACUGUCCUUCUAAAAGAUACAAAUCUGGAUGAUAUUCAACUCAAGCUUUUGGUAGUGGUAAUUAAGAAUGCAAUGCAAUGCUUGAUGUGUGCGUUUCUCUACUCUUUUGGUAUACUCUACUUGUAUAGAACAUUAAUCAAAUCAUUUACAUUAUAAAAGAACGGUAAAGAGAAUAUCCCAUUAAUAGCCUGACAAAUUAGCAAUAAGGAAGGUAUAACAUUGAUCUUCAACUAUAAGGCUCGAGUAGCAAAAUGAGAAAAAAAAUAUCAUGGGUGGAGAUUAGCUUACAAAAACACAAUAAAGCCUUAAUCCCAGGCUUGUUGGAUCUGAAUCCUUAACUAUCUGUUUUGCUCAAUUUGGAAGUUCUCUAUCACUAGAUUUCCACAUUUUCUAUUAACAUGCAAAUCUUUAACAAGCUCUAAGCAAACAUUAGGCCUAAUGGAAACUUCCCAACAUGACUAUACUGUAAUUUCAACUUCUAUUUCUUUUUGCUAAAUAUGCAUAAAUUCCAAGAGAUUGUAGGUCUUUCAAAACAACUUCUUUCCGUUUGACUUUAGGUUUACCUCUUUCUCUUAACACCUUCACUGAUUAUAGCUUCACAUUUAUAGAUUAGUGCAUCAGAGGUCAACGUAGGAACUUUCUCAAACGGCCUUCUCUCAUUUUAUCCUUUAUGUGUGUUACUUGUCCCUUCUGCUGAACAUGAACAUUUCUAAUCUUGUCUGAUUUUGUAUUUCCACAAAGUUCUGAAUAAGUGGGAAAUCUCCUAAUACUUGCAUGUUGAAUGACUUCCACUCAGUGCCGUAAGAUGCUGCAUUUCUUUGAUAAAAUAAUUAAGUAGGCAAUAAUUUACAGUUAUGUCUAAUUUAGUCCUUGGUUUUGCAUCGUAUCAGUCAAUCUUUUAAGGAUAGUCACUUUUUAGUUCUAAUGUGGCCAAUGUGAUUGAGGUCAAUGAAAAAUGAAUUAUUUAGUUAGAGAUAAAGUUUUUACCUUCAGGCUCUAUAAAAUUUUCAAAGUAUUCGUCUCCAGUAUUCUUUUGUUCCUUCUGCCAUUGUCAAUUAUGCUUCUGUUACUUAGUUAGGUUGCAUUGGCAACCAUAUUUGAUGGCUAAGUAAAAAUAGUUUAACGACUAAUCAUGUGACCUCCCCUUUGUCCCCUAGACAAAGUAUUGUUGAGGAUUCAUAUAAAUUGGCUAGUUUUACAUUGGCUUCCAUCCUAUUGCAUCCCUCCUCUUUUACCCAAGCUCACCCAGGCAGAGUAAUCCCCCCCGUAAACAAAGUAAAAUCAUAAAGUUUGAAACUCUUUCACCAACACGGUUCUUAUCAUAGAAAAAGUGGAUAUUUCAGGCCAUAGCUCACAUUAUGCCAAUGUUUGUUGAUAUUGUUUCCUAUUUCUUCAAGUUCAUGAGCCAUGUGCUUACUUGAAAUGGUAUCUUAUUUUGGCAACUAUACAAUCAUGUUGUUCUUGAGGCAGGCUGCAAAAAUUCUUGCUAAUUUAAUUGUAAUGGGCUCUUCUAUAUUGGCAAGGGCUUUUGUUCAAGCAUAUCGUCAGGCAUUGUCCAGUAAGUAUCUUCUGAAUUCAUGUUCCUUAUUUUUUGAAAAUAACUUUGUACUCAAUUAAUCUGAGUCAUUCUGUUCUGCAUCAUAAGCAUUUUGGGGCUGUUGGGGUGUUCGGUUUGUUUUUUCUUGCUUCCAUGCACAUCUUGCUCACUCUGUACUUAACUGCAUCCUGAUGGCAGAUGCCUCGAAGAAUGGUGUUGCUCAAGAAGCAAUGCAGAAUAUUAAAAGAUCUAGCAAAACCCAUGACGGAAGCAGAGGCAAGACAGAUUCUUGGUGUCACAGAGGAUUCAUCAUGGGAAGAAAUUGUGCAGGUUCGUUUAAAUGUUUGCCGUUAUCUUGUGACACUGCUUUUGUCUUUAAUAUGGCAUUAAUACGUCGCUUCUCAUUUUUCUUGCAGAAGUAUGACAACUUGUUUGAGAGAAAUGCUAAAAACGGGAGUUUUUACCUUCAAUCAAAGGUACAUAGAGCUAAAGAGUGUUUGGAAGAAGUUCACAAACCUAAAGAACCAGAAACAAAAUAAGAAAUUUUGUGCUGAUGUUUAGUGUAUAUUCUAGCUGCUAAUGAUUUACCUAGCUAGUUCCUUGGAUCUUUGUCGAAAAUUUUAUAUUUUGGUGACAGCAGUUGAGGUUUCUGUUCAAGAACUUCAAUGUAGUGAGUGUGUUAGACACAUCACAGCACAACACACUCACACCAUUGUAGUAUACAUGUGUAUAAAGGGAUCAAUUUCUUGAGUAGCUAACAAAAAAAGAAGUUGAAAAAACUUGAUGACAUUUUCGCCCAUUAUUUUAAGUUGUAUUCAUUAUUCAAGCUUCUUAUAU
rnacentral:lncRNA from 1 species